AUUGAACGCUGGCGGCAGGUCUAACACAUGCAAGUCGAACGGUAACAGAAAGCAGCUUGCUGCUUUGCUGACGAGUGGCGGACGGGUGAGUAAUGUCUGGGAAACUGCCUGAUGGAGGGGGAUAACUACUGGAAACGGUAGCUAAUACCGCAUAACGUCGCAAGACCAAAGAGGGGGACCUUCGGGCCUCUUGCCAUCGGAUGUGCCCAGAUGGGAUUAGCUUGUUGGUGGGGUAACGGCUCACCAAGGCGACGAUCCCUAGCUGGUCUGAGAGGAUGACCAGCCACACUGGAACUGAGACACGGUCCAGACUCCUACGGGAGGCAGCAGUGGGGAAUAUUGCACAAUGGGCGCAAGCCUGAUGCAGCCAUGCCGCGUGUAUGAAGAAGGCCUUCGGGUUGUAAAGUACUUUCAGCGGGGAGGAAGGGAGUAAGGUUAAUACCUUUGCUCAUUGACGUUACCCGCAGAAGAAGCACCGGCUAACUCCGUG
rnacentral:rRNA from 1 species